GACGAACGCUGGCGGCGUGCUUAACACAUGCAAGUCGAACGGAAAGGCCCUGCUUUUGUGGGGUGCUCGAGUGGCGAACGGGUGAGUAACACGUGAGUAACCUGCCCUUGACUUUGGGAUAACUUCAGGAAACUGGGGCUACUACCGUAUAGGAGCUCCUGCUGCAUGGUGGGGGUUGGAAAGUUUCGGCGGUUGGGGAUGGACUCGCGGCUUAUCAGCUUGUUGGUGGGGUAGUGGCUUACCAAGGCUUUGACGGGUAGCCGGCCUGAGAGGGUGACCGGCCACAUUGGGACUGAGAGACGGCGCAGACUCCUACGGGAGGCAGCAGUGGGGAAUAUUGCACAAUGGGCGGAAGCCUGAUGCAGCAACGCCGCGUGCGGGAUGACGGCCUUCGGGUUGUAAACCGCUUUCGCCUGUGACGAAGCGUGAGUGACGGUAAUGGGUAAAGAAGCACCGGCUAACUACGUG
rnacentral:rRNA from 1 species